UGCAAUACAGAAUAAAUUAUCACUCUGUGGCAGGCGUGGUUCUAAAAAUCAGAUGAAACAAACUAAAGUCCUAGUACAAGGUCAAGAAGGUUUUGAAAAAAAUGUCCUGCUGGUUGACAUUGAAUUAAGAACAAUAUGUUAUAUUGUUAUGAAUUUGUUUUACUUAAGGUAUUCUUGUUUUGGCCAAGGACCUUUUUGGCCAAAGCAUUUCUUACAUUUUAUAACAUUUGGAAAGUUAUGACAAUUAUCUUCAACUCCAGCUUUUGUCAGUGUAGAAACCAUACCUAAUCCAAUUUUCUCACCACUCACACAAUAGUAACAGCACACAACAAAAACGUUUUCCUCAGGUGAUGUCUCGAGAACGUACUGCCAAAGCUAAGAAAUUAUGUCAUUUUGUUUUUGCAGAGAAGAACAAAUUGUUCUGUAUCCACACAAUAUAUUUAGAUCUCAUUUUAACUCUCGCUAGCUGAUGCAAUUUGUCAAUAUAUGAUAUGUUCGCUUAAUUUGAAAUUGACAGAAUAUUUUAGAACCAUCUGUAUUUUCUAAAGCAACAGCUGCAGUCUUCUGGCUUUAUAUGAGCUGUCAAAAAACAAUGCUGAUAGUACCAGGCUUCCCUAAAAUAUUUGUUCCCCUCCUUAUUGUGAUGCCAGCAGUAGUGGAGGGUGCUAUAUCUCAGUACUUUGUGCUGUAUUUAUAAACCAUUUAUUAAAGUUGCAAUUAAAGAGCCAAACUUUUCUAGUUAUAGUUUGAUACUUCAUUAAAUUAACUUCAAUCACAUGCUUUAAAAUCAAGUACUUUGCAGUAUUAAUAUCACUAUUGCAUGGUCUACAUUUGGUUUGCGAUUGUUUUAAAGUGUUUAUUUGACCAUUUGAGCUAUCCAUGCUUUAUGAAUUUGCAUUUUAGCAUCCGUUCUGUCAUAUAAUCUUGAUAAAGUGCAAUACAAUUUAAUAUAGUUAUAUGUUUUCCUGUUAUUUAUUAUUUUAGACAACAGAAAUCAACACACUCAUUUUCAGUAAAAUAUGUGUACACUGCCAUCUAGUGUCAAUCUACCACACCAUAACAGGAGGUUUUCUAUAAUGGAAACAUAAAACCUCUAUUCAGCUUCUAAAAUAAAAUAAUAAUUCAGUAGUUUAUAGUGAAACUCCCUUCUUCAGUUUAAAAGCUUUGCUGCAACAUGAUUUUAAACUUGCAAAACAUCAAGCAACACUGGAGGAGACACAAUGAUGGAGAAUUUAAGGCUAAGACAAACAGUAUUUAGUUCCACCUCAGUUCCACUUGUAUUAUUGAAUGUAUGUAAUUUAAAACUUCUUGAUUAUUUAGACCCCUCCUCUCACCCGAAACGUUCGCUGAAGAUAGGCACCAGCACCCCUCCCAACCCUAGGGACAAGGGUGUAUAGAAAAUGGAUGGAUGGAUGGAUGGAUGGAUGGAUGGAUGGAUGGAUGGAUGAUUAUUUAGAUCUGAAAGAGGCCAUUCAUGAGAAGGAUCUCUUUAUGGACAGUUUUACUCUUUUUGAUGUAAAUAAGGUUAUUUUCAACACUUUUAAGUUGGGUUUUCAGCCACAAUACAGUGUACCUUGUUCCUCAGCAGAAUUUUUUUUCAUUUUCUUUCUUAAUGCUUUUCUAUAAAACAUGAGUUUGUGAAUAAUUGGUGUUAUAAAGAAAACUUUGAGUCGGCUUUCCUUACUGUCACAUUCAGAAAUCAGCUCAGUAGGUAUUAGGAUGAUACUAAGUGGUGGAACUCGUGAGCAGCAAUUAUCAAACAUCCUCAGUCAUGAUGUGGUAGAAUCUGCACAAAGAACCUGAGUUCAGGUUCUGGCAAGAAAGAGGCUGUAAGUAAGAAUACCUUCAUAUGAAUGCAGGCACAGGGGAUGAUCACAAGAGAGUCUCAAAAAACUCUAGUUAAACAAAAAAGUGGGACAUCAAGAUGGUGGAGGCAACAUAUUGUUUGAAUGCCCUUCUUCCCUUCCCGCUUUUAUAGAAAGCAACAAUGUGAAAUAUCUUACAAAACGUUUAAAGUGUAUUACUCAACAGCCAGUGUUGAAUGCAAAACCUAACCCCAAUAAAUCACUUGUUCCCAUGUCCCAUGUCCCAUCAACAUUGCUUAUGCCAAUUGAAAUAAAAAGUCAAUAUUGGCUUGAAAUAACAUGGAUCAAACUGGCUAGUGUACAAUUACCCACCAGUUACAUCAGUAGUAACUGAUGGUUGAGACCAUAGCAGAGUGAUUGUGUGAGGUCUAUUCUUAUAUGAAGGUUUGUGCUGCACCCAGAUAAACCAGCAGCCAGAUUUUAGUGACUGUUACGGCUGUCUAUGUCAUCAGUGGAUGUAUAUUUAUAAAAUCAACCAUAAACCAUUUAAAAUGUUUAUGACAAAGAAAGAGAGUCAAGCAGAAAAAUGUAGCAAAAUUAUGGUCUUAUUGAAAUUUACAAAUAAUACUAAAUGUAAAUGCAUACAUUUCAUUUGUAUACAUAGAAGUAUGUAGUUUUAAUUUAUAAGGACUCUGAGUAUGAGCAUGUGCUUUGUUUUUUCUCUUCAGUUCUUGAGUGGACUGUCUACUUUUCUGUAGUGAGCUAAAUCUCCAUUGACACUGAUAUUGACAAAAAGCAGUUCGGUUUCAACAAGUAUGUAUUGUUCACUUACAACAUGAUGAAAUAAGUGUGUGCUUCACACAUUAUGUGUUAUGUGGUUAAUAUUUAACACAUGUUCGUUGUCAAGAUAACCCGAGAUCAUCCCAUUAUUCCCAUGCAGGAGAUUUUAGGUUCUCUUUUAGUUCUCAGUGUCAGCAUUAAGAAAAGAUAGGUUAGAUAAGAUGAUGGAUUUUUAUUUGAUUACUUCUGCUACUGAAAUUAAACUGUACUGACCCUCUUAAAAUUGCCUUAGUAAUAAACUAUUUAGCAUAAAGAAAAUCUAAAGGAAGUUGUGGACAUUCAGUUAAAAAAGUGUCACCUCAAAGUUCUGUGACGGUUGUAAAAUAGCAAUGACGCUUAAUUCUGGAGAGAAAAAGGUGGUUAAAGUUUUAAUAGGUUGCCUUAGACCAAUAAAUUAUAUGUAAAACAACAUUCUUGGGAUUCGCACAAGUCACUAAAAAGAACCUGGUUCAGAAACAAGUGCACAUUCUAACAAAGAGGAAGAGAGACUGUUAACAGGUGUGCUCUGUGAAACAGGCUGCUGAGCCUGGCUAAUUCACAGGGGGAAGCAGGAUGGGACACUCAGAUGGAGGCCAGCUUACAGAGAGUUUAUCUCAGUUCUGGACAAGGUCAUACCCGGCAGACUUAGGAAACUCAAUUUAGCAGUUAGAUUGAGAGCUGGUAGCGCGUCUCAUCCUCUCAGAAGAAGAAGGUGGGAAAGGGAGGCUGGGGGAGUCGUGCAGCUACAACAUUGUCUAGACAAUAUCAGCAGUAGGUCUACAUCAGGGAUGAAACAUUUGCACAUUAAAUUAAUGAGUAACUGAUGCUAAGAUUACAGAGUCAAAUCUGAUGGGACUGUUUACAUUUCUCUGGGGAAGUUGUCAUUGUCAUAUGGUAAAUGUUUAAUUUGGUACCUCUUUUUCAGUACUUGCAGCUUCUGAAUAGGUGUGCACAUUUUAAGGAAGAUGACUGCUUAAUCAUAAACAGUCAUUGUCUGUUUGAUACUCCACACUAGAAGUAAAGAUAUUUGAAGAAGGUUAAUAUUAUCUUCAAUGAUAAUUUUAUUUACUGGAAUAAAAUUAUUUUGUAAAACCAAACAAGGAAAACAAAUAGUUCCAGCAUUUCAUUUACAAGGUGAGACAUUUGAAUUUUUAAAUAUUGAUUGUUUCAGCUUGUCAGUGUUUUUACUUUUGGACAUACCUGGAAAGGAAGAUUAAAAUCUAAUAAAUUGCAUAAAAUAUUGCUAAUUUAUUUGUUGUUGUUGUUAUUAAACAAUGUAGUAAGAAGUUCCUGUUAUUUUGUCUGUCUUAACCUGCUGUUUUUUCAAUAUAUGGGAGAAAAAAAUGUAAGGGGGUCUAUUUCCACAUAAUAAUUAGUCCUUUUGAUUUAUUUAACUACUGAAUGACACUUCUUGCCAAAUUAUGUUUUCGAAAUACUAGAAGAUAGUUACAUGGUAAAAGGACACUACAUAAAUCUAAGUUCAUAUUGAUCGUCAAUUAAUUUAUUUAAUUUUCUUUUAAAGUGUAUAAAUAAGAUUAUCACAGAUGGUUUAUGUUGUUUGCAGAGUAAGAUUGACAUCAGCUCAACAAACAUGACUGGACCUCUGAUGAUUCUUCUCAUUGGCUCUUUACUACAAGGCUCCAACUUUAACAGAUAUGAGGCUAACUUGCCACAGAUUGUACAAGUUAUGACAGGAUCAUGUCUGACGGUGCCCUGCUCCUUUGAUGUAGCGGAUCAAAGCGCCUUAAAUAACCAAUGUCAAGCUAUUUGGCGUUCCCGAAGCACAGGCAAUGCCCAACAGCUUGCUGACAGAAAUCCACAAACAGGAGACUUAACAAAGAAAAACUGCACCACAACUUUCAACAAUAUGCAGCCUGGUCACACCAGGGAUUAUUACUUCAGAAUCGACUGUAGCAAUUUUCUAAAAUACAGUUUUUACCCACCAUAUGUAAAAAUUGAUGUCACAGAUAAUUUUCCCUCACCAACUCUGACUCCGUCCACACUGAAGAUAAAAGAAGGAGAGUCAGUGAGUCUGAUGUGCUCUGCUCCGGCUCCAUGUCUGCCUCAUCCUCCAACUCUGAUUUGGACCCCAAAACUGGGGGACAUUCAGGAAACACUGCAGGAGAAUCUGGACAAAACUAAAUUCAAGACGUCUGUUAUGAACUUUACUGCUUCUCACCUCCACAAUAAACAGAACAUUUCCUGCACUGCUGUGUACAAGAAACAAGAUGGAAGCUCUGAUGCUGGUCUUUCAACACGCUUAAUUCCAGAUGUUUUGUAUUCCCCUAAGAAUGUCACAGUUUCAGUCAGUCCCUCUGGUCCGGUUGUAGAGAACAGCAAUGCGACUCUGACAUGUAACAGUGAUGCCAACCCAGCAGAGCAGAAUUACACCUGGCAUGGAGUUGAUGGAUCCAAGGAAAUUGUCAUUGGAAAUGAAAAGAUUUUAAACAUCAUAGUGUCUACAAGCAAAAAGAGGUUUUUUUGCAUGGCUGAAAAUGAUCUUGGCGAAAAACCUUCAAACAUCAGUGACAUAGAUGUUCUGUUUCCUUCACGGAUAUUAUUUUCAUCUAAAUGCAUGAAAACUUCAAAUCAGGUCAACUGUUCCUGUGAAACAGUAGGAAACCCGUCUCCAACAACACAUUGGUACUUGAAUGGGAAGCCAGUGAUUCAAUCUAGCCAGAUGGUGAUUACACAUGAGUUUCUAAAUAGCUCAUAUCUGAGGAGCAUCAUCACUGUUGAUGAACCACAGGACAGAGAUCUGUCCACCUUGCAGUGCUUCAGCUCCAAUUCUUUGGGUUCAUUCAGUAAAGGGUUUUGUGUCAGCUACCUUGACAACUCAAGAGAAAAUGAAGGUCAAAUCUGGAUGCCUGUCUCCAUUGCCAUUGUUGUAGUUUUUCUACUUAUAAUAUGCGCCUUGCUGCUUGUUGUCGGGUUUCAGAGGACUCACUAUCAACCUAAAAGUGUCACAGCAGCUUCAGGUCAACAUGGAGCCAAAGAGCAAACCAAGGCCGACAACUGCCAACCUUCAACUGGAACUGAUCUAAGCUGCAAUAAUCUGGAAAAAAUGAGUAAAAGCUCAGCAGACAAAAGUGAAGAUGUGAUGUAUGCUAGUUUAAAUUGGAGAGAAAAUAACAAAGCGAAGGAAGAAGGCUUUUACGUGAAUCUUGAACUGUCCGAUGUCUCCCGUUUGAAUGAGAAAAAGUGUGAGAAUGUGGGAGAACAUUCUGUGAGCAAUGAAGAAGAAAUAGGAAGUCUGCAUGCUGAAGAUAAGACUAAAAACAUAAGAAAGGAAUCAGAGGUUGUAUAUGCGCAGGUUAAAUUUCAGACCAAAACCCGAGUCUGAGUAAAUGAUCAUUCUCUGGACAUAAUAGUGAAAAUAAACUCAAGUGAAAUAAAAGUUUAACACUGAAAAUCAAGGAGGGUUUAAAAAGAACAAGGUCCUCAUGGUUUGCACUUAUUCAUUUCAUUCACCCAUUAGUACCCCGAUCAUACACAUCUAGACUUACACUAGAUGUGUAUGCUCGGGGUACGAUCAUACGUAGGUAUGAUCCUAAAAUGCACUCAUAGUUCAUGUAGGAUCAUAAAACUCUCUGUUAAAAUGUUUCCUAAGUACACAACAGAAAAAAUAUAAUGGUGCAUCAUACAGAAAGCAGCGAAAGUUAACAUGGAGUAUGCUUUAUGUGAGUUUGGUAUGAGGUCUGUCAUGACGGAGAUGUUCCUGUUGUUUGGUCACUUGGACAUUGAAAAGCAUGUGAAGCCCUGUGUGAUUUUUUGGAGCUAAUAUUGUCACAAUAAUUUGCAACUUAACAUCAAAAGACCUGAGCUGGGAUGUUUAUGAAUGAGGUUUGCAUGUCCAUUGCUUGCAGAGUCUUUUUCUCUGUUCUCACCUUCUCUGGUGGUUAAGUAAAUAACUGAUGGUUAAGUUGAGAUCACAGAGAGAAAAUAAAUAUAGGGCUGUUCCCAACUGUUUUCAUGUACAUGUUCUUUUGUACUUGUCAGUUUUUAAAUGAGUUCCUCCUUUGUUAAGACAUUUUCUGAUGCUUCUAAAAAAUAUGGUAAGUUCACUUUAAAGCAAGAUGACUUCUUUACUGAGCAUUUGAAUCCUGGGGUUAUUAGUGCACAGAUAUUUAAACAAGUGUUACAAUUUAAGAAGGAAAAGGGAAAGGAGUUGUGAGAGAUUUCUUCUGAGGUGAGGCGUGUCCACAUAUAAUGUUAAACUUUGCGCUUGUUUUUGGAGAUUAUGAAUUACAAACUUGUUUAAAAAGGUUACCUUUGUAAAUGUAAAUAAAAAUGCAGUCAAAUGUUUAAGGAAAUGUUUGGAGUUCUUGUGUUUGUUUAUUUAUGCUAACCACAUUUUUCUAACAUACUGAAUAAAAGAGAAGAGAUUGUA